GGCAGCAUGAACUUAGCUUGCUAAGUUUGAUGGCGACCGGCGCACGGGUGAGUAACACGUAUCCAACCUGCCGAUGACUCGGGGAUAGCCUUUCGAAAGAAAGAUUAAUACCCGAUGGCAUAGUUCUUCCGCAUGGUGGAACUAUUAAAGAAUUUCGGUCAUCGAUGGGGAUGCGUUCCAUUAGGUUGUUGGCGGGGUAACGGCCCACCAAGCCUUCGAUGGAUAGGGGUUCUGAGAGGAAGGUCCCCCACAUUGGAACUGAGACACGGUCCAAACUCCUACGGGAGGCAGCAGUGAGGAAUAUUGGUCAAUGGACGAGAGUCUGAACCAGCCAAGUAGCGUGAAGGAUGACUGCCCUAUGGGUUGUAAACUUCUUUUAUACGGGAAUAAAGUGAGGCACGUGUGCCUUUUUGUAUGUACCGUAUGAAUAAGGAUCGGCUAACUCCGUGCCAGCAGCCGCGGUAAUACGGAGGAUCCGAGCGUUAUCCGGAUUUAUUGGGUUUAAAGGGAGCGUAGGCGGACGCUUAAGUCAGUUGUGAAAGUUUGCGGCUCAACCGUAAAAUUGCAGUUGAUACUGGGUGUCUUGAGUACAGUAGAGGCAGGCGGAAUUCGUGGUGUAGCGGUGAAAUGCUUAGAUAUCACGUAGAACUCCGAUUGCGAAGGCAGCUUGCUG
rnacentral:rRNA from 1 species